AGUUUGCAUAGCUAGCUGCCUACAUGUUAUACUACUAUGUCUUGGAGUUGGCAUGCCUUACUAGUGUAGGAAAGGGCGCUGGAGUCUGCGUCGUUUUAGAUGCUAUAAGUAGGGAGUAGGUUUAGAUUGUUUCGGCCAUGUAGCAUGUCAUAUCGUGGAACCAGGUCGUGCAAGAGUUUUUCCAUACAAGAACAAGGUCAUGUAAGAGUUUUGGUAUAAAAUAAGAUAAGAAAGAGUACGGUAAAGGACUUCGUGCACAUGUAUUCAGCUAUUUUGAUGUUCGAUUCUGUGGGCAAAAGCGAACAUAGAUUACUAAUGCAUAUGCCAAAUUAGCAGGCUACAGAGACUCGAUUGUUCCAAGUCGAUGUUGUUGGCGCUAAAACAUAGAAGACUACUGUGCCAAGCUGGAUUUACUAGGAGAUAGAUUCAAAUAUUCGAUGGUGCAUAUCUCAGAUGUUGGUUGCAAGGUCAAGAAUAGGGGUGCUACUAGAUAGUUUCACAUUGUGUCUUAGAAUGCCAUUUCCAGUUCCAAUGUUUCAAUCAUUAUGUAUCUGAUAUUUUUGGUAUCAAUGUUAGAUCAUUAUGUUUCAGAAUGGCUGACACGAAGGUUGCAAGGUCAAGAAUGGGAUUACUACUAGUUUCACAUCUUGCAAUCUUUGUAUGGUGUACUUUGUAAUGCAACCAAGUUGAUUUAAUAUAUGAUGAGAAAUUUCUGUUUA